AACCUUAUGGACCUGCGGGCGUAUACCUGCGGAGGGAUCAUUACAUUCAGUAGCCUAGCUACUUGUUUACACCCUUGUUUUUUUGCGCACUUCAUUGUAUCCCUCGGCGGGCUUGCUCGCCGGUUGGACAACAUUUAUAACCUUUUUUAAUCUUCAAUCAGCGUCUGAAUUAUAUUUAAUAAUUACAACUUUUAACAAUGGAUCU
rnacentral:misc_RNA from 1 species